GUAAACGAUGUGUGUUAGACGUUGGAAAUUUAUUUUCAGUGUCGCAGCGAAAGCGAUAAACACACCGCCUGGGGAGUACGACCGCAAGGUUAAAACUCAAAUGAAUUGACGGGGACCCGCACAAGUAGUGGAGCAUGUGGUUUAAUUCGAAGAUACGCGCAGAACCUUACCAACACUUGACAUGUUCGUCGCGACUUUAAGAGAUUAAAGUUUUCGGUUCGGCCGGACGAAACACAGGUGCUGCAUGGCUGUCGUCAGCUCGUGUCGUGAGAUGUUGGGUUAAGUCCCGCAACGAGCGCAACCCUCACUUUUAGUUGCCAUCAUUUAGUUGGGCACUCUGAAAGAACUGCCAGUGAUAAGCUGGAGGAAGGUGGGGAUGACGUCAAGUCCUCAUGGCCCUUACGUGUUGGGCUACACACGUGCUACAAUGGUAUCUACAACAGGAAACAAAACUGCGAGGUUAAGCAAAUCCUAAAAAGAUACCUCAGUUCGGAUUGCACUCUGCAACUCGAGUGCAUGAAGCUGGAAUUACUAGUAAUCGUGGAUCAGCGUGCCACGGUGAAUGCGUUCCCGGGUCCCU
rnacentral:rRNA from 1 species